rnacentral:rRNA from 1 species
CCUACGGGUGGCAGCAGUGAGGAAUAUUGGUCAAUGGGCGGAAGCCUGAACCAGCCAAGUAGCGUGCAGGAUGACGGACCUACGGGUUGUAAACUGCUUUUAUACGGGAAUAACGCGCCUUACGUGGAGGGCUUUGAAUGUACAGUAUGAAUAAGGACCGGCUAAUUCCGUGCCAGCAGCCGCGGUAAUACGGAAGGGCCGGGCGUUAUCCGGAUUUAUUGGGUGUAAAGGGUGCGCAGGCGGAAGAUCAAGUCAGCGGUAAAAUUGAGAGGCUCAACCUCUUCGAGCCGUUGAAACUGGUUUUCUUGAGUGAGUGAGAAGUAUGCGGAAUGCGUGGUGUAGCGGUGAAAUGCAUAGAUAUCACGCAGAACUCCGAUUGCGAAGGCAGCAUACCGGCGCUCAACUGACGCUCAUGCACGAAAGUGUGGGUAUCGAACAGGAUUAGAUACCCUGGUAGUC